UACGUAGGGUGCAAGCGUUGUCCGGAAUUAUUGGGCGUAAAGAGCUCGUAGGCGGUUUGUCGCGUCGGCUGUGAAAACUCGGGGCUCAACCCCGAGCCUGCAGUCGAUACGGGCAGACUAGAGUGCGUGUAGGGGAGACGUGGAAUUCCUGGUGUAAGCGGUGAAAUGCGCAGAUAUCGAGGAGGAACACCGGUGGCGAAGGCGGGUCGUCUGGGCAGUAACUGACGCUGAGGAGC
rnacentral:rRNA from 1 species